AACGCUAGCUACAGGCUUAACACAUGCAAGUCGAGGGGAAACGAUAGAGAAAGCUUGCUUUUUCUAGGCGUCGACCGGCGCACGGGUGAGUAACGCGUAUCCAACCUGCCCACCACUUGGGGAUAACCUUGCGAAAGUAAGACUAAUACCCAAUGAUAUCUCUAGAAGACAUCUGAAAGGGAUUAAAGAUUUAUCGGUGAUGGAUGGGGAUGCGUCUGAUUAGCUUGUUGGCGGGGUAACGGCCCACCAAGGCUACGAUCAGUAGGGGUUCUGAGAGGAAGGUCCCCCACAUUGGAACUGAGACACGGUCCAAACUCCUACGGGAGGCAGCAGUGAGGAAUAUUGGUCAAUGGACGAGAGUCUGAACCAGCCAAGUAGCGUGCAGGAUGACGGCCCUAUGGGUUGAAAACUGCUUUUAUAAGGGAAUAAAGUGAGUCUCGUGAGACUUUUUGCAUGUACCUUAUGAAUAAGGACCGGCUAAUUCCGUGCCAGCAGCCGCGGUAAUACGGAAGGUCCGGGCGUUAUCCGGAUUUAUUGGGUUUAAAGGGAGCGUAGGCCGGAGAUUAAGCGUGUUGUGAAAUGUAGAUGCUCAACAUCUGCACUGCAGCGCGAACUGGCAGACUUGAGUGUGCGCAACGUAGGCGGAAUUCGUGGUGUAGCGGUGAAAUGCUUAGAUAUCACGAAGAACUCCGAUUG
rnacentral:rRNA from 1 species